UGAACGGUCCAGGAGUGAACUUACCUGUCGAAUACAGGUCAUGCAGAGGGUCGUGCAGCUUGCGGAAACAAGAAGAGAUCAUGACAAGUUAUGGGGAAAGAAAAAUGGAAACAUAUUGGUGAAACAUGAGCAAGCAGGUUGGCUGUGAAGGAGCAUGAGGAUGCUUCACCUCGCUUGGAAAACAAAGACAAUAGAUAAUUUAAUUCAAACAAAUUUCCCCGAGAUGACAAAAACCUAAAGCAUAACAGGAUGAUCGCAAGAGUCAUCCCAGCACCUCUUGGCAUACAUGCAAUGUUGACCAAGGUAUGUUUCCUUUUGACCACGCUCAGAGCUAUCAAACGCAGUUGACUCUACUCAUCUUUCCCCAGUAUUGGAAGCAAAGACCACGUAGCAUAUCA